CACCAUCGCCCGGAUACUACAAGCCACGCUUAAAAACCAAGGGACUUGACGGUAUCUCAUACCCCACUAGAGGAGCCUGUCGCACAAUCGAUAACCCCCGCUAAACCUCACCACUCUUAGCUUAUUCAGCCUGUAUACUUCCGUCGCAGCCUAUCAUAUGAAUGAAUCUUAAUAGGCCAAAUGAUUUACAUCAGUACGUCAGGUCAAAGUGCAGCCAACAGAGCGGAAGCAGAUGGGCUACAUUUUCUAAAUUAGACUAUACGAAAGAUUAAAUGAAACAUAAUCAGAAGGUGGAUUUAGUAGUAAGGGCAAAACAGAGAGCUCCCCUUAAUACAGGCACUGGGAUGUGUACAAACCGCCCGUCACCCUCUUCAAAUCUAAACAAUAGUACUUAACAUCAUUAAAACAACAGAAGAGGUAAGUCGUAACAUGGUAAGUGUACCGGAAGGUGCUCUUGGAAACGAAACAUAGCUUAACCAAA
rnacentral:rRNA from 1 species